CUGCUAGAUGUCCCGCCUCUAACCUAAAUAUCGCUUUCUGAUUGGUUGCCGGUUUCAUGCUAACUUACGUGUGAUUGGCUGUCCCCGCUGUCACUCCUUCUGCUUGUAAAAGCUAGCCUACAUGCUAGUUGCUAGCGAAGGGACGAGAGGCGGUGCAACUGUCAGUGUUUUGAAGGAUGUGAAUGAAAAGAAAACUGGAUAUAAGAGACUUCUUUAGGAGUCAAACUCAUGGAGUGCAGCUGGCGCAGGGCAGAAGCACACACCUGAGGUUGAUUAGCCUAUUUAACCUCGGUGCUGACGGCCUGUGAGCGCCGGAACUUUGUGGUCACCGCUGUAGCUAUUCGCAUGCGUCCUAUUUCAUCUCACUAGCAAACUCUUGUUUAUCUCGUGCAUCUCACAGGUUUGCCUGCAAUACCUAGCCUUGUCUAGCGCCUUUAGUUUUACAUUCAGUUUAUCUGUUUCACUUCUUUCAUGAAGUAUUUUUUCCUAGCCUUGUCUAGCGUUUUUAUUUAGUACUUUGCUCCUCUGUUUUACAUUUUCUCAGUUAGUAUUAUUCCUAGCCUUGUCUAGCGCUUUUUGUUUAGUUUUGGUAAUCUAUCAUUGUAGUUUUUUUUUUAAUGGUGUGUUUUUGUGCUUCCACCAUCGCCUUUAGUUUUGGCUACAUCCUCCUUCCGCCAAAAUAAAGGAAGAACAUUUCUCUACUAACCAAAAUGUCUCUGCAUCCUUGGGAUCCACUCUACCAGUCCCUAACAGGCUCUUUGAAGUGAACGACAAGAGCCGGCUCCCGAUCAAAUGUGUUUUUUUUUUGUUUGUUUUUUAAAACCAAUCAGCUGGAUGCUGCUAUUUCUUUUUGUUUUGCACAUUUUAAGUUGUAUUUUGUUGAGUGAUGUUUAUGUAAGGACUGGUGGGUAUCGAGGUGCCGGGUUCGAUUCCCUCGAGGAUGCGUUAACGUGAACACAACAAAGGUAAGAUAUUAAAAGAUUUAUUUAACAAAAAGAGAGCUCUGAACAGAAAUACUGGAGCUAAUAAAAAGGCAAACCAA